rnacentral:rRNA from 1 species
CAGCAGCCGCGGUAAUGCGGAGGGUGCAAGCGUUAAUCGGAAUUACUGGGCGUAAAGCGCACGUAGGCGGCUUUGUAAGUUAGAGGUGAAAGCCCGGAGCUCAACUCCGGAAUUGCCUUUAAGACUGCAGAGCUAGCAGGUGAGAGAGGUGAGUAGAAUUCCACGUGUAGCAGUGAAAUGCGUAGAGAUGUGGAGGAAUACCGAUGGCGAAGGCAGCCCCCUGGGCCAAUACUGACGCUCAUGCACGAAAGCGUGGGGAGCAAACAGGAUUAGAGACCCCUGUAGUCCCUGUCUCUUAUAC